rnacentral:piRNA from 1 species
UGCCAAGAUCCAGGUCAGAAACUUGUAUC